rnacentral:rRNA from 1 species
UACGGGAGGCAGCAGUGGGGAAUAUUGCGCAAUGGGCGCAAGCCUGAUGCAGCCAUGCCGUGUGUAUGAAGAAAGGCCUUCGGGUUGUAAAGUACUUUCAGUCGUGAGGAAGGUGUUAAGGUUAAUAACCUUAGCAAUUGACGUUAGCGACAGAAGAAGCACCGGCUAACUCCGUGCCAGCAGCCGCGGUAAUACGGAGGGUGCGAGCGUUAAUCGGAAUUACUGGGCGUAAAGGGCACGCAGGCGGUUAAUUAAGUUGGAUGUGAAAUCCCCGGGCUUAACCUGGGAAUGGCAUUCAAGACUGGUUAGCUAGAGUCUUGUAGAGGGGGUAGAAUUCCAUGUGUAGCGGUGAAAUGCGUAGAGAUGUGGAGGAAUACCGGUGGCGAAGGCGGCCCCUGGACAAAGACUGACACUCAUGUGCGAAAGCGUGGGGAGCAAACAGGAUUAGAUACC